rnacentral:tRNA from 1 species
CGAGUAGAAGCCCGCUGGUUAGGGUAGUUAGCUGUUAACUAAUUUUUGUGGGAUCAAGGCCCACUUGCUCC